rnacentral:lncRNA from 1 species
GACGGCUGCUCCCCUCCUUUCCUCCCGCCACAAGCGCUCGCUGUGGUUCUGGCAGCGAAGUGCGAGACUGGGCUCGCCAGGCGGAAGUGGUUGGAGACUGCGUGUUUUCCUAGAAAGUCCUCGACCUUCGUCGGGGAGAGGAGGGGAGUGAUAAAUUGGAAGGCGGACAAGCGACAAGUGCGGUACUGGAAAGACCCAAACAUACUUGGUUGUGACCUCAGGACUCAAUAAAAUAAACAGCUGGAAAUAAGCAGACUAGUGUAAGAGUGAAUUGAAAAGAAAACCCAAGGUCACAUCUCCCAAGAAGCAGUAAUGUUCCAGCAAUAAGAAAAGGACAGUUUUUUGUCUUUUGCAUGGUGAGCCUUAUAUGAAUUACAUCAAUUUUGUCACCAAUAUCCAUCAUCAGAACAUUUUGCCUACUCACUGUGAAGACAAUAAGGAUGAAGACCUUUAUGACAAUCCACUUCCACUUAAUGAAUAAUGAGGAAACUGGGGCACAGAGAAAUUAAGUGACUUGUCCAGGAGGACAGGGCCAAUAACCGGUGGAACCAUAAGAAAAAAAUCCAGUAACAGCUUUGAAAAAGGAAGAUAACAAUGACCUGUGUGUACAGCGUCCAAGGGAACCAUUAGCAGUGGAGCUCCCCAGGCUCCUGGGACGACCAAGCACAUGGUCCAACCAACCAUCUUCUGACAAGGUAGGGGUGGGCAGUGGAAGGCAAAAAGAAUGGCUGCACUUGUGUUUCUGAAGGUCAGACCAAGAAAC